rnacentral:tRNA from 1 species
GCCCUUAUCGUCUAGAGGCCAAGGACAUCUCCCUUUCACGGAGGAAACAGGGAUUCAAAUUCCCUUAAGGGUA